AGCGAACGCUGGCGGCAGGCCUAACACAUGCAAGUCGAACGAACCUUUCGGGGUUAGUGGCGGACGGGUGAGUAACACGUGGGAACGUGCCUUUAGGUUCGGAAUAACUCAGGGAAACUUGUGCUAAUACCGAAUGUGCCCUUCGGGGGAAAGAUUUAUCGCCUUUAGAGCGGCCCGCGUCUGAUUAGCUAGUUGGUUGAGGUAAUGGCUCACCAAGGCGACGAUCAGUAGCUGGUCUGAGAGGAUGAUCAGCCACAUUGGGACUGAGACACGGCCCAAACUCCUACGGGAGGCAGCAGUGGGGAAUCUUGCGCAAUGGGCGAAAGCCUGACGCAGCCAUGCCGCGGGAAUGAUGAAGGUCUUAGGAUUGUAAAAUUCUUUCACCGGGGACGAUAAUGACGGUACCCGGAGAAGAAGCCCCGGCUAACUUC
rnacentral:rRNA from 1 species